AAGACUAUAGACCUGCGGAGUACCUGCGGAAGGAUCAUUAUAGAGUGGUAAACCCCCCGUAAAAGGGGGGGACCUCCUGUCCUUUGUAGGCUCUUUUUUAAAAGGGCUUUUUUUAAUUUUCUGCUUCGGUGGGGUUAUCCCACCGGAACAACCUCAAAACUCUUAUCAAAAAAUCGUUCUGUCUGAGAACCUUUUAUAAUAAAAAAAACUUUUAGCAACGGAUCUCUAGAUCGGAAGAGC
rnacentral:misc_RNA from 1 species